UCUAGACAGCUUUCUGACUGCUUCUGGAGUGGCAGAGCAUGGGAUAAUUGAUUCCUGCCGAGGGCCUUUUCUAGCAGUGUUAGGGUGUAGUCCAGAGGUCUCGGUCCCCAUGACCCGCAAUUCCACUCCUAGCCUCCGGGACCCUGCUCAGCAAGUGCGGAAAACAGCGGGGCUGGUGAUGACCCACCUGAUCCUCAAGGACAUGGUGAAGGUGAAGGGGCAGGUCAGCGAGAUGGCGGUGCUGCUCAUCGACCCCGAGCCUCAGAUUGCUGCCCUGGCCAAGAACUUCUUCAAUGAGCUCUCCCACAAGGGCAACGCAAUCUAUAAUCUCCUUCCAGAUAUCAUCAGCCGUCUGUCAGACCCCGAGCUGGGGGUGGAGGAAGAGCCUUUCCACACCAUCAUGAAGUAUUGUUCCCUGGGCCUUGGGGCACAUUUUCCACAUAGCACGGGCUUAGGAAUCAGACACACCUGUAUUUGAAUUCCACCUCGGCUACUCUUUAGCUGUACAGCCUUCAGCAAUAACUUAGCCUCUUUG
rnacentral:sRNA from 1 species